rnacentral:rRNA from 1 species
UACGUAGGGUCCGAGCGUUGUCCGGAAUUAUUGGGCGUAAAGAGCUCGUAGGCGGUUUGUCGCGUCUGCUGUGAAAACUGGAGGCUCAACCUCCAGCCUGCAGUGGGUACGGGCAGACUAGAGUGCGGUAGGGGAGAAUGGAAUUCCUGGUGUAGCGGUGGAAUGCGCAGAUAUCAGGAGGAACACCGAUGGCGAAGGCAGUUCUCUGGGCCGUAACUGACGCUGAGGAGCGAAAGCGUGGGGAGCGAACAGG